rnacentral:rRNA from 1 species
ACCUGCGGAAGGAUCAUUAAUGAAUUGCUAGAAGGUUGUUGCUGGCUCCUAUGGGGGCAUGUGCACACCUUUUAUCUUUCUUUCCACCUGUGCACUGUUUGUAGGCCUAGCCUAUGAUUUUACAUACUCAUUAACAUAUGUGUAAUGGUUGGCUCAUAAUAUAAAAAUACAACUUUCAACAAUGGAUCUCUUGGUUCUCGCAUCGAUGAAGAACGCAGCGAAAUGCGAUAAGUAAUGUGAAUUGCAGAUCUCAGUGAAUCAUCGAAUCUUUGAACGCACCUUGCGCUCUUUGGUAUUCCAAAGGGCAUGCCUGUUUGAGUGUCAUUAAAUUCUCAAUGCACUGCCUUGUGCUCUGCAUUGGAUUUGAAGAUUGCUGGCUUACAUCAGAGUCAGCUUCUUUGAAAUGCAUUAGUAGGAUCAUCAUGCUGGAUCGAUACAGGUGUGAUAAGUUAUCACCAUCUGAGAUUAGGCAAAAGAACCUGCUCAUAACAAACACCCCUUUUGACAUUGACCUCAAAUCAGGUAAGACUACCCGCUGAACUUAAGCAUA